rnacentral:lncRNA from 1 species
GCCCAUUAAAUUUACGUUAUCUAAUUUUUUUUUUUAAAGCAUAGAAGUUAGAACACAACAGUUGUUAUUUUUGACCUGGAUCGUAUACGAUUACAAUGAAAUAAAUGUUAUUAUUAUUUUUUUUUGAAGAAUUGCAUUUACCUUUUUUGUCGAAGGAUAAUUGUAUUGCAAAAUUCUCUUUAAGUUUUGAGAAAGCGUUUAAUCUUUCGGGUUGGAUUUACAAUUUAUUUACAAAAGGAUCGGACUUCAAUGAGAAUUAUGCAUUGGAGAAAACGUGUGAACCAAAUUG